rnacentral:lncRNA from 1 species
CUGGGUGUGGGGCGGCUCCGCGGCCGGGGAUGGCGGAGGCCGCGAUCGCGGCGGCUCCGGGACAAGCGGGAGGAGCCCGGGGAGUGCUGUGAGAUGGGCCGGCUCCCAGGUCAGCCGGGAGGACACUUACUACAGCUGCCCAGAAGCACCAUCAGAAGCGCAGCAGAUGUGGGCACCCCAGCCAGCAGCAAAGAAGGGUGCAGGGAAGCUACAGAGAAGCCCCUUCUGAUGCCCCAAGGAGCAAGCCAACCCCUUCCAGGCUC